GAUGCCUGAUCUCAUCAAUCUAGCGGGAGAGACAGGAUAACCUGUCCGAGAGUAUAGCGCCACUGUGACUCCGCCGGAAAAAUUACUUUAAAAAUCACCAAAAAUUACUUGGAGCAAAGGGCAGUCGGCGGAGCUUCGCCAAGGCUGGCGCAGUCGGUUUUGACCUGUAGCAGAGAACCAAUUCUGGAGAACAGCCUCACUUCUUUGAUUGAAUACUCACAUAAUGCAUUGGAACAUGACAUGAGAUUAAGGUUUAAUAAUGAUAGAAUGAAGACCAUAAUAAAAGAGAUCUCUACUUAGCUCAGCAAUUCUUACCUUGUUACACUGAAGACUUUGUGAAGAGCUUAACAUUUAGCUGUUAAAACUUGAGGAGGUGGGAGAAACAUGAAAGCAGUCCCUUUUCCUUCCCUUUUGUUUUUUUUGUUUUUUAAAAUUUAUUCAGUACAUAUUUCUUGAGCAUCUACCAUGUUCCUAGUACUUUUCUAGGAGCUGAAGGUAUAGCAGUGAACAAAACAGAUAAACAAGUAAGUACAUAAAUUAGAAGAUUUCUGACAUGGAUUCAAAGUCAGAGGUUUCGGGUCGGGGCCAGGACCCUGCAUCUUUAGCAAGCUUUACCCGAGUAGGAUGGCAGCUGAUCUGUGGUCCAUGCAUCGUGUAAAGAACCCACUCCAAAGAGCCAGGGAGCAGUGUCCAGCUGCAAGUCCCCCUUUCUUCUGUCAGGGAAGUUUGCAGAAGUGAAUCAGUGGAUAGCAACACCCAAGUGAUACCUUCAGGGUAGACAGGAAGACAGUCUGUUUAGUUGAAGGUCAGGAGCAGUCACCUUAAUUAUUUAAGACAUCAUUUCUUGCCCUGGAUUGCCCCAUCACCUCCCAACUAAACCUCAGAUAUUUCCUGCAAAUAUCAAAAUGAGGAUUUGUUUUUCUCUUUUUUCCUUCCUUUUAUAUAUACACAUGCAUACCUCUUUUUUAGAAUAAGAAACAUUUUUCCCCAAUUCAUUUAACUUUUGAGACACUUAGAAAUUCUAAAAGAAUAAUUUUAACAAGUUAACUGAAAUUAAUAUUAUGCCUCUGGAAAAACUCACAAGAUCAAGGGCAUAUAAAAUGCUCAGGAUACUUGUUUCCAUAGAAGUAUUUGAGACCCUAAAAUCAGUUACCAAAAAAUGUCAUUUCCAUCCAUUCCUUGAGCUAAUUCUGCAUCUCUGAAGAAAAACUCAAGGGCAAGACUUUCUGUUCUUAAUGAUGUUGAGGGCAUGUCUCUGUUUAAAUGAAACAAGUGCUUCAGAUGCUUUUAUUACAUUAUCUCACAGUGACUCAAAUGUGUAUGUGUUGGGGAUGGCCUUAUGAUCAUAGACAAUCAGCCAUUGAACUCAAUAAGGUGAGAAUUUUUAGGUGGGGGAUCAAUUAAAUAUUGAAAACUGUUAAUAAUAAGCCAGUUUGCAAAGUAGUAGCCAAAUACCACAGGUCACUUUCUUUUUCUAAUUUUCUCCCGGUUACGUUUUUGUCUCUGGAAAAUUAGAAUGGAAACAUUUGCAAAUCCCUAAAGAAUCCUAUAUAGUCCAGGCUUGAAUUCCUUAAUUAGUCCCUUGGAAGCCAGCUCAGCCCUUCUUCAACUUAACUCUUAAAAAAAGAAGUCUUUUUAAUUCUUAUUACACUCGGACUGGAGGGCAGUCCACUUUUCAAAAAGAAAUAGGUAUCAUUUAAUUUCUAACAGAUACAUAAGCACAGAUAACAUCACAUUCUUCAUUUCAUCUCCUUUAUAAAUUUCUAAGCUAGCAGUCUUUCUUGGAUACUCUCCAGCAUCUUUUAAACAUAAGCCAUUUAUCAUAUUUCAUAGUUGGAAUGCUUUCUGUUGUCUGUUCUAGGUAGAUUCCCCUUAAUCUUAGAUCCUAAAAUGGUGAUGUUUCCAAUUAAACAAUACCCACAAUAAUAGGUACAUAGUGACUUACGAUAGUGAGUGAUGCUGUGUGAUUGUGUGUUCCCCUUCUCUCAUUUUUUUAAUGUUUGUUUAAUGCCAUUUUUUUAAGAUGGGAUAUAUAUAAAUAGGGAUAUAUAUAGAGAUAUAUAUUUUUUCUUUUUUUUUUUUUUUCUUUUUUUGAGACAGAGCUUCACUCUUGUUGCCCGAGCUGGAGUGCAGUGGUAUGAUCUUGGCCCACCAAACCUCCACCUCCCGAGUUCGAGUGAUUCUCCUGCCUCAGCCUCCUAAGUCGCUGGGGUUACAGGCAUGCGCCACCACGCCCAGCUAAUUUUGUUUUUUUUGUUGGUGUAGACGGGGUUUCUCUAUGUUGGUCAGGCUGGUCUCGAACUCCCGACCUCAGAUGAUCUGCCUGCCUCAGCCUCCCUAAGUGCUGGGAUUACAGGUGUGAGCCACCUCGCCCAGCCUAAGAUGGGAUUUUUUUUUUAAGCUGUUCGUUUGUGGAAUGUGGAUGUUCUAGAAGUUGUAGAACAGUGAUGUUCAUGUAUACAAUGCUGUCAAACAAUGGCAGUUUGGGAUUCAUUUUUACAAAUUAAAUAUAGAGAUGGAAUAUUUUUCAAGUUUAUUUUUCAAUUUAGAGAUCUUAAACUUUCGUUGCUUAACAAAAAAUUAAGAAAGAAUUAUAUGUCUUUUUCUUUUUUGAACUAUUUUUAUUUUUCACAUGGCAUUUUUAAAUAGAUAAAUUAUAUAUUUCUGUUUGUAAAUGUAAACAUAUGAUUACCUGCAAAGGUAAAUGCAUGUUUGCAUCUUUUAUGUAAAUUUAAAUAUAUAUUUGGUGCUUAAAAAACAUCUUUAGGUACAUUGUCAGCAGUUAAGAACAUUACAUCUCUCUUUUUAAUAAUCCACAACAAUAAAAAAUCUUAAAACAUUGACUUUAUAAAUAGAGAAAGAAAAGAUGAAGCAGAAAAUUCACCAGUGCUGUCAAUGUUAGUUCCAUAAACAAAAAUGAUAGACAUAAAUUACUUCCUAAUUCCAAAGACUUGCUAAAUUUGGCUGCUAUCAAGAACAAGGCUAGUAAAAAGAAAUAACAAAAUAUUUCUCACUUAUGACUAGUUAUCAAUAAGUUUUUAGAAGUAUUAUCAAGUUAGCAAUAAAAGCAAUGGCAUGUAAUCAUAUCAGCCUAGAAAACAUUGUCAAUUGUUAAAUUAUAAAUAGUACAAAUGUAGGACUGACUGAAAAUACUGCAAAAAAAAUCACAAUAUUUUAAUUAGUGUAGCAGUAAGUAAUCGAUGAUAGGGCAAAUGAUAUAAAAUCUGUUGUGCUUUCAAUAAAAUCAUAAUGAUGUAAUUAUGUUAUACACUAGACAUAGCCAAAGUUUCUCCUAUUUUUAAUUAUUGUGACAGAAAUUUACUGUUGUGUAAAUUGCUGUGUACCUGUGCCACUGAUGAGGAAAUUCUAUCUUGAAUAGUUUUAAAAAUGGGAAUGUUUCUGGAAGAAAGGAAUUUCCCAAAAGAGAAAAAAUAAAUUGCUCUUUUGCCA
rnacentral:lncRNA from 1 species